rnacentral:lncRNA from 1 species
CAUCAGCCCAUUUUCCAGAUUAGAAACCGGAGGCCAGUAUCUAGUUGUUAGUGAACAAAUGUGGGGUGCUUCUGGAUCUGAUGUUGGUGAUAUUUCUAUUUUGCUUCCCUUCAGUUUAGCAUGUGGCUCUCUAGAACUUGGCAACCAUGUAAUCUUCCUAUCUGGAGCAGCACCGACCCGUUUUCCUGAUGAGAAACUGUGUUUAGGAUGUGACUCUCUAGAACAUGGCAACCAUGUAAUCUUCCUAACUGGAGCAGCACCGACCCGUUUUCCUGAUGAGAAACUGUGUUUAGGAUGUGACUCUCUAGAACAUGGCAACCAUGUAAUCUUCCUAUCUGGAGCAGCACCGACCCAUUUUCCUGAUGAGAAACUGUGUUUAGCAUGUGGCUCUCUAGAACUUGGCAACCAUGUAAUCUUCCUAUCUGGAGCAGCACCGAACAAUUUUCCUGAAGAGAAACUGUGUUUAGCAUGUGGCUCUCUAGAACUUGGCAACCAUGUAAUCUUCCUAUCUGGAGCAGCACAGACCCGUUUUCCUGAUGAGAAACUGUGUUUAGGAUGUGGCUCUCUAGAACUUGGCAACCAUGUAAUCUUCCAAUCUGGAGCAGCACCGACCCAUUUUCCUGAUGAGAAACUGUGUUUAGCAUGUGGCUCUCUAGAACUUGGCAACCAUGUAAUCUUCCUAUCUGGAGCAGCACCGAACAAUUUUCCUGAAUAGAAACUGUGUUUAGCAUGUGGCUCUCUAGAACUUGGCAACCAUGUAAUCUUCCUAUCUGGAGCAGCACAGACCCGUUUUCCUGAUGAGAAACUGUGGUGAGUAUCAUUUAUAUCGCGAACAACAG